rnacentral:rRNA from 1 species
UACGUAGGGCGCAAGCGUUAUCCGGAAUUAUUGGGCGUAAAGAGCUCGUAGGCGGUUUGUCGCGUCUGCCGUGAAAGUCCGGGGCUCAACUCCGGAUCUGCGGUGGGUACGGGCAGACUAGAGUGAUGUAGGGGAGACUGGAAUUCCUGGUGUAGCGGUGAAAUGCGCAGAUAUCAGGAGGAACACCGAUGGCGAAGGCAGGUCUCUGGGCAUUAACUGACGCUGAGGCGCGAAAGCUAGGGGAGCAAACGGG